rnacentral:misc_RNA from 1 species
AAACUACCCCCGCCAAACCAAACACCUCGUCACGCGCUUCCAUUUUCCGCUGGUUCAACAGUUGAGAAUUUUCGCUUCUCCUAGAAGCCCACCGCUCACAGUAGACCUUCACACACAGAGUGAGCAAGUCAAAAUUCACCUCUUCCCGAAUGAAAUCUAUAAAUUCUUAAUCUAAUUUGUAAAUAAAUUUAAUUCAUUCUUUCUCUGGGUCAACUUCCAAUGGCUGAUGAUACCGGCUCUUUACCUCUCAUACCUCCCUCUCCUCUCAACGAACCCACAGAGAUCGACCUCGAGUCCGGCCCCAGUGAGAAAAUUCAGUGCCGAAUUUGCCUUGAAACCGACGGUAGGGAUUUUAUUGCACCAUGCAAAUGCAAAGGAUCAUCAAAGUAUGUCCAUCGGGAAUGUUUGGACCAUUGGCGAGCUGUGAGGGAAGGAUCUGCAUUUUCUCAUUGCACAACCUGCAAGGCCCCUUACUAUUUAAGAGUUCAUGUUGCUGCCGAUAGGAAAUGGCGAACUCUGAAAUUUCGGUUCUUUGUGACUAGAGACAUAGCAUUUAUAUUUCUGGCCGUUCAACUUGUUAUUGCUUCACUUGGAUAUUUGGUGUAUUUAAUUGAUAGUUAUCAGCAUUCUUGGCUUCGACAUGCAUGGGGCUUUGAUAAUGAGCUUAGUUUCUAUUACAUAUGUGGAAGUAGGCACACAAUCAGGUGUGAAUGUGCGUAAAAUUAGUGGCGUGAUAUCAGAUGGAGAGAUGGGCUAGUUGAACUCUACUUGGCGUUUGUGGCUGGUAGAGGCUCGAACAAUCAAUUUGACAGUGGGAAUGCGAGGCACAGGUUGCUUCUGGUGGUCAGAUUUACACUAGAAGGAUUGCCCAACAACGUGUAGUUGAUUGGUGGUGGUGGUGUGAUAGCUUGGUGAAAAGAAGUAGUGGUUUGUUUAUGGGCAAUAGUGACAGUGGUGAGGCUUGCGAGAGGGAAAUUCAAUGGUGAGGAACUAGCAGGAGCGCUGCUAUUUUUUGCUUUGCUGGGGCUAUCUGGGUGCUUCAUUACUUGCUAUGAUCGAAGAGUUUGCAGUGAUUUGGCUCAGCCUUGUCGAGAAUUAUGUCUUUGUUGCUGUCAGCCUGGAAUGUGUGCGGACUGCCAUCUACCUGGCACUCUUUGCAUGUGGACUGACUGUACCACUUGCUUUGAAAGCUGUGCAAGUGCUGCUGGUGAAUGUGGUUGCUUGGGAGGUGCUGGUGAAGCAGGGCUACCAUUUUUAUUUAUAAUGGCUGUGAUUGUGCUUGUACUCUUUACAGUGAUUGGCAUAUUCUAUAGUGUUCUAGUAGCUACUAUGGUUGGACAGCGAAUUUGGCAACGGCACUAUCAUAUACUUGCAAAAAGGAUGCUAACAAAAGAAUAUGUCGUUGAGGAUGUUGAUGGUGAGACUAUGGGAUCUGAUUGGUCUCCCCCACCUCUCCCACCUGAACAUGUUCAGCAGCUGAAAAUUCUGGGUCUCCUAUGAGUAAAGGAGGCGAUAUCAUAACACGCUGUAGAGAUGGAAUGGUGCUCUAUUUUGGUAUGUCAUUCUAUACUCGGAGCCUUUGAACUUUUAGUACGAAACGCUUUGUGCAGUUACUUGGUAAGAAAAUAUCAAAGGCUCUUUGAUGUUGUUUCAAAAUAAAUUUACAAAUCUGUAAAGGAUAAUAAUUUGUGAAAAUGCUCCUGGUAUUGUUACAAUACUUUGAUGAGUAAAGAAAACUGAAACAAGGUGUACUCAAGAUAACUAAGAAAAGAUGUUCCAUCAUCUCUUCUAUGUUUGUAAUCUAUCAUAAGUUGUACUAUGUAUGGCAUUAAACAUUACAUGCAAUAAUUUACUCUCCUUUGGACAGGAGAUAGAAGGGGACAAAAAUCUUAGUUUAGUAAUCAAGUCACAUGAUAUGCUUAACCAGGAAUAAGUGAGGACAAAAAAGGAUGCAAUAAUAGGAUAUUCAAAAGACAGAGUCUUGGGUAGUAAUGACAGUGGUUGGGGGCAUCAUGUGAGCCAAUAUAGAAGCAAGACCUGAUAUACUUGUGAUAUUUGCAACACUAUAUAGUAUAUACUAUGAGAUUUGACCUCAUGUCUCGUCUCUAUGUGGUCAUCUGUUUGAACUUGUAACAUGUACUGUGUUUUUGCUAUGGAAAGCUGGGGCACACCCACUGUUCCUAACAGGGAAAUGUUCGGGCACGUGAAGCUACCAUUUUCCGCACUCGUGCGUGGAAUCCAUUAACUCGUGAAAAUAGCUUGCUACCACCAUUUUCUAAUAAUUUCGCAGUGACUAAAGCCAAGUGGACCAUCACCUACACACCUGUGGACUGCAUGUGGCGGUUGACGUUAGAAUUCACGGGUGUCUAGUCACUGGUCACUGCUGUUAAGGAUGGACGGUCCACUAAAAACAGGGCAUGGUUCUCGUGAAUGUUUUCCUUUGAAGACUUGUUUAUUUAUUUCUAAAAUUGAUGUUAAAUUUUUUAAAACCACAACAAGAUUUUUUCCUUUCAUUUUUAUCUCUAUGGUUUGCUAAUAUUUAAUUCUAAAAUUUAUAUUAGAUUCUAGUUUGUAUUUAGUUUUUGAAUUAUUAUAUUGCAAAAUAAAUUAUUUUCUCAAAAAUUUUAUAAUUUUCUCAUAAUAACAUAAAACAAAAGUUUAUUAUAUUUAAAGUUGUAAAAAUU